rnacentral:tRNA from 2 species
GGGCUCGUAGCUCAGCUGGAUAGAGCAUCGCCCUUCUAAGGCGACGGUCAAAGGUUCGAAUCCUUUCGGGCUCA